AGUGUUUUAUUAGUCAAAAUCUGUUUUGAUUUGUGUUUUUAAGUGUCUUGAGUCAAGUUAGAACCUAAUUUCAUCCAAAACCAUCCCUAGAGUCAGUUUAGAGUCUAAUUCAUCGUUUUAAGCUGUUUUGAGUCUUUUAAACUAGUUUUGAGUCUUUUUAGUUUGUAUUGCAUCUUUUGAGUCUAGUUUGGUGUUUUAAACUUAAUUUUACGUUUUUAAGUCAGUUUCAAGUGUUUUAGCAAUCCCUCCUAAUCCCUGGCCUAGAACGAUCCCUAUUUACAUUCUUUACUACAAUUGACAACAAGAUGGUUUAAUUUGUGUGUUAAGUUAUUUUCGCAUCAAAUUUUUGAAUUCUUACAGUCGACCCCACUUAGAGGAAUAAGGCUCUGUUGUUGUUGUUGUUUGGAUGAAAACAACUUCAUCAUUUAUGACGUCUUUACUCAAUAAAUUGUAACUAAAGAUUUCUUGAUUGAAAAUAUAAAUUUCACGUUAGGAGUAAAAUCUUGCAAGAUAGGUUAAAUGAUCUUGAGUCUGUCUUGAAACAUUGCCAAAUGUUUUUGGGCGUUAAUGUUUAUAUUUUAACGUGAUAUCAGUGUAAGAUAUGAGUAUGAAUUCUACUUCGGAGAACCAAAUUGCAUUGCUAAUUUGUUUGUGGUUCGUCUUGAAAAUGCCUAAAAGGUUUUUGUUUUCUUGAAGUACAUGGGAUCGAUAUAUGUAUCGUGAGCAACUGGUGAAAAAUAUCGAUAAAAGAAUUAAGAAUUGGAAUUUGCAGAACCAAUUUACAUGUCAAUGAGUGCAUGCAUGCUUCGAGAUUUUUGUUGUUUUCAGAAUAAGUGCAUGAGUGCCAAAACAUGUGCCUUACGGUAAAAUUAAUAUUAAAGUAACUGAAAUCCCAGAAAAAGUCUUUGUUUGUCCAAGCACGCGUUGGCUAUUGACCAAUAUUAGGUUAAUAAUUAAGUGGUUGAAAGCUUUAAAUCAAUCGGAGCUUGGUCCCUCCAAAAAUUCUUGUUUUGUGAAUAGUGUACUAUACAUGCUUAAUAAUAAUAAUAAUAUUAUUAUUAUUAUUAUUAUUCUUACAGGCUCCAGUCAAACCAAAUUAUUCCUACUGUUGGCGUAAUAUGGCGGCAUCUAGGUCUAUU
rnacentral:lncRNA from 1 species